GGAUUCAUUUCAGAAAUCUGCCGUGACAUCUGUUACCCAAUUGAUGGCCAGGGUUGAUUCUGCUGAUCUGACUGGUUGGGCGGGUGUCCCCUUGCUCUCUCACAGCUCCACGUGUGUCCCUCCUGAAGCUGCAGACUUCUUGGAAGAGGAAGACCAUCCCCAAUAGAAAAGGACCAUUCUUAACGAUAUCUAAUCCUCCAACAAGAACUCAAAGAAAAUGGUGAAUUGCUGCCUAUACUGAGAGGAGAAAAUUAAAGUGUUACACAUGGUACCCAACAAUU
rnacentral:snRNA from 1 species